AGUUGGCUUACACUCGCCACAAGCUACAUCAGAGUCACAUCAGUACAUUACAUAUUCAUCAAGAAUAAGAGCAGGGUCCGACUACGGACGAAAACAAACGAUAAAAUAAGAACGACGUCCAUCCUUGCUAUCCCAGGCUGCCGGCCUGGAACCCAUCCUAGAUUGAUGAAGAAGAAGAAGAAGACGCAACUCCAAAUGAACAAUCAAC
rnacentral:lncRNA from 1 species